rnacentral:lncRNA from 1 species
ACCAUCCCUGUGCAGCAGGAGGCAAGACUCUGCUUCUGCUCUGGGCAUUCUGAGAAACAAGAAAUAGGAUCAGAUUUGGUGCCUCAAACUCCUGGGUGAUUAGAAUCUCCGUUCUCCCAGAGUCGUCCAAAGUGAGGCUCCCUUAUCUCUCAGUCAGUCGGGGAUGAUUUAUUACCCGGGAUCCAGGCUCUGCUGAAGCACUCACGAGGCCAUCUCUGCAGGGUCUGUGGCACAGCUCGCUACGGUACACUGAGCGGAGACGAGGACAUGAAUAAUUGUUUUGAUAAUAUUUAGCAGGCGUGUGUGAUGUCGCUUUGCAGCAUCUGCUAUUAACAACACAAACAAAAGGAGCCUUUACUCGCUGUGUUACUCUGCUUUCAGGAAGAUGUAAUGUGCUGAUCUGGAGCCUUUGAAGAUACCAGAACUUCAAUCCUUUUCUGAACAUCUCAGGUCAUGUGGGAACACCGGUGUUUUUAAAGUAAGGCUGCUGGAUAACUGAAUCAUUGUGUUGCGGACCUGAAACUAACACGAUAUUGUGAAUCAACUGUGUGUGUGUGUGUGUGUGUGUGUGUGUGUGUGUGUGUGUGCACACGCAUGCGCAUACGUGCUCAGUCAUGUCCGACUCUUUGCAACCCCAUGGACUGAAGUCCACCAGGUUCCUCCGUCCAUGGAAUUUUUCAGGCAACAAUACUGGAGCGGGAUGCCAUUUUCUCCUCCAGGGAGAAACUUCCCAACUCAGGGACUGAACUUUUAUUUCCUGUGUCUCCUUCAUUGCAGGCAGAUUCUUUACCCUCUGAGCCAGCAGAAAAGCCCACUCAAAGUCAGUUCUUCUGUAUAUUUCCUUCUGGCUGAUGAAAGCUGGAGUUGGUGGACAGUUCAUGAGCAAGCACUUGAUAUGCAAAAAAAGCCCACCCACAAGCUUCCAGAAACCUAUGAAUUUUAACAAAAGAUGUGGGGAUCAUCACUUCCUCUCUUUGGACUUGGGAAUUCAGCAGCCUGAGAAUAACCUGGAAACUGUGUCCAGAGAGAAAGAGAGGAUUCCAAUUGAAGAGACACCACAGGUAAGAUUAUAAGGUGUUUGGGGAUUGGAGGCAUGUUGAAAA